ACCUGGGUGGCUCAGUUGGUUGAGCAUCUGACUUUGGCUCAGGUCAUGAUCUCAUAGUUCGUGGGUUCGAGGCCUGCGUCAGGCU
rnacentral:tRNA from 1 species